CCUGGAAUGGUGGUGUUUUGAGAUUCUUGUACUAAUGUCUGGUCUUCUCCCAAAUUCAAAGCUUGAAACUUCAGUCCUUUCGAUAUGCCUUUCAAGCGACGCAUUGCAUUAUAACAUACCACUUGGAAUCAGUAUAGCUGCCAGUACAAGGAUUUCAAAUGCAUUAGGAGC